rnacentral:lncRNA from 1 species
AGGUCAAGGGUAGGUUUCAGCCUGUGUUUAGCCCCCAAGUGACAGAUGGUGUUUCUGCAGUGACUGCAGAAGGAUCUGUGGCCUGGACAGAGCCUGGGCUUGGUGGCAGUGACAGAAUCACCUCUAGGGAUUCAUUCGUGUGUCCUAUGGCAGCUGGUGAUAGCCCAGUCUCCUUUGUCUUUACUUCUCAGGGAGAGCCUCGGGUCUGCUGCUGGCCUGUGCCGUUCAGGUCAUUGAGAGCCGCGUCUGUCACCUUUGUCGUCCUUUUAGCAUGGAGUUUAAGGUGGCAUUUUGUGCAUGCCUGCACACAGUAACUACUUUGUGCGUUUGAGAAGUCAUUCCUAGGAGAUCCCUAGGUGGGUGUGACCCUUGCCUUGGCACCAAGGUGGCAAGAGAGAGCACAGCUGUGCAGAGCUGGACGGGGUGGACACCGUCCCUGUCCUCCAGGAGCUCACGUAUGCCUGCCUGUGAGCGCCUCGACGACAGAGCCAGAGUCCACCCCUGCACUGCCCAAAGACCCUUGCCUGCAGCGCACUGAUGCUCACAGCCACCGGCUGUCGAUGCAGUAGCUUCCCCAACUCGAGUGUGCACAUCUGCGGGUCAUUCCAUGGGUCAGAAUGGAGGGGGCUUUGGUUCCUCUGUGCAGUGAAGCAAGGCACUGACCCCACUGGGGUCCUAAUCAUCUCCAUCUAAGCAGACAUGGGAGGGGAGGGGAGUGAGGGAGUGAGCCUUCCAGGUCCCUCCCUCUGUGUGCGUCCUUUGUAGCACCAGUUGAUUCUACUGUGCGUGACCUGGAGCCUGGCAGUCACUUCCAACAUCCACAGUGUUUCAAUAAUUACCUCCAAAUAAAAAGCUUCAUUUCCCACA